ensembl:lncRNA
GGUGGGGGAGGCUUUAAACCACGGCUUUAUUUUUAGAUCCAGUAAUUUUAUCUUUUGGGUUUCGGAGGGGUUUGGAAAGAAAGAGAGAGAGGAAAAAAAAAAAAAAAAAAGCCUUUUUUUUCUUUUAAUUCUUCUUUUUCUCCACUUUCGCCACACGAACGGCUCUCAGAGCAGAAAGUUACGGGGAAAAAAAAAUAGCGAAAACUUGGAGAUAUUUUCCCUCCUCAUUUACUUUUUCUUCGCAAACAGCGGUGCUUUUGGGGGGGACCUUUUCCUCCUUUUUUUUUUUUUUUUUUUCCUUGCUGGUGUAUCGCCGCGCGUUUCGCCUCCACAAUAGGUUUAUUCUCCAGCCCUCCGGGUCGAAGUGUGUUUCAGUUACAAAUCGGGAUUUUUUCGCUCCUCUCUCCCCUCUCUGCCUCAGAGGAUCUGCAGUUUCAAAAAGCCGAUUGAACACGGCGUGAAAGCGUGAGGCUGACGACUCCCCCGCCUCCUACCGCCACUCUCUCUAGGUACUUCAUUUUAGAAUAUACUUUUUUUCUCGCGGCAAAAAAAGAGAGAAAAAAGAUUUUCCCUCCGCCAAACGUUCUGAAAUCUUUUUCAAUAUAUCCCUGUAUCUUUACUGUUUGAAUUUUUUCCCGUUCUCACACUCUCACGGGAGCGCAGUCCUCGUUCCGUGCCCCGCAAGGAGGAGCCCCCCGCGGAGCCCCCGGCGCAUCGCAUCCCCGCUUUCCCCCCCUCAUGUCCCCAGCACCUCGCACCCCUCGUGGAUGUCACCAGCAUCGCAGUUUCAAGGCUGGGGAUGGUGCUCCCAGCUCAGCCGGGCGCUUUCAUUCAUAAAAUGACAAGCCAGGGUUACAAGGCAACUCUUCCCCCUCUCUGCAGACCUUUGAGAGGGGAAUGAGCUCUUCUGCACAUCCAGACGUCUGCUGUUGUUUGUCCGGUCUCUUCCCACUGGGGGGCACAGGACUCCAUUCUCCAGCAGAUCUGUUCCAGGCAUCUCUUUAUGUCAAGGCAAAGGCCGAUGCUUUGGACCCAGAAAGACACAAGUGGGAUGGAGAUCAGAGCCCUGGGCUUUUCCCCGCAGACCAGCAACUGGUGCCAUUUCUGGCUGAUUCUCUACUUUUCUCUUCCUAGUGAGGGUCUUUUGUUAUUUAUCAGCUCCUUUCAAAGCAACAACCUAAGAGAUUUCACAAUACUUUUCACAUAUGGUUACUCAGCCUGGGGCUCUCCACAGCUUAGCUGUUUCAGUGAUAUUUGCACAGCACUGAGCAACAGCAUUCCUGACCUGCAGGAGAAGUGAGUGCCUCAAACCUCCUUUUCUCCAUAUACACAAGAUCUUUUUUUGCUCUUAAAAAACCCCAGACCCCUCUCCCCAUCCCUGCCAGUUGCACGGCAGACUGGAUGUCCUUGGCAGCACACUUGGGCUUGCAUCCAUUUUUCUUCUUUGUGUGUGUGUGUGUUGUCAUCCAAUGCAUGGCCAGAACCAAAGGCAAACUCGUGUGUGUGUUGUCAUCCAAUGCAUGGCCAGAACCAAAGGCAAACUCCAUUUGGGAGGUGAGCAAGGAAAACCCCUCCAAAACAGCCAGGAGCUGAAAAGAUUUGGCAAGCUUUGCAGGAGAAAACUGCCAGCAGGGAAAGACGAGGUGGAGGCAUUACUCUGACAGAAGAAGCUCUGAUUAGCAGAUUAUCACUUAAGUGAUGUUGAUCCCAGCCACGCUGCCUUCCAAAUGAGCCCUUUCACAGCUGCCAGCUGCACCACGGAGUCGUGAAUGUAAAUGAGUGGGCCAGAUCCUCUGCUGGCAUCCAUCGACGUGGCUUUGAUGGACCGUCCUGGAUCUACAACAGCCGGAGGAGUGUGGCUGUCAUGGGAGCCUGACUUGCUAUGCAGAUUUCUUUGAGAGCCUGUGGGAAAGGGCCUGAAGCUGGAUGUACUGCAGGAUAGGGCAGCAUCAACUGCACAGCUGGAGGGACCCUUGAGACUUUGACUUUUGCUGCCAAACAAAGCCAUCUUUUUGCUGAGCUUGUAAACUGUUCCCUGGUACCGUACGCCAGCAUAUAGCAUCCUGCCCUCAUAAAGCUCUACUUAUCUCCAUCCAACUUCUUGGGCUGAGCGUGUGGGAAGCAUGUGAGGGACACUCAUGAGCAGCCUCGCAUUCUCCGAGCUGUGCUUUCCCCUGGGGAAGGCAUACUUGACCUCUGGCCACGUCCAUCCAAUCUGACAGACUGGUCUUCGGAGAAUGGUGACCAAGAAUAAGCUCCAUGUCCCACAUGCCACCUGUUCAUCUGCACCGCUCCCUCUCCAGCAGCUCAUGGGCCGUGCCCAGCCUAUGUGUGACACCUCUCUGGCUGCUCAGAUGGAAAGUAAGAGCUUGGAGAGUGAGGACAGCAUGGAGUUAUGGAAGACAUGGCUACAAGACCAUUCUUUCUCCAUCUCCAUGUGCUUCUGAAGGACCAGUCUGAUUCUGGCUCCUGCCAACUUAGGAUAUGCUAUGAUUCUGUGAACACUUUUUGCAGCAAGUCAGCCAUAAGAAACAACAUACUCUCAGACAAUCAAGCCUCCAAAUUAAGAUGGGGAGCCUUGUUGUGAAGGAGAUGGGUUUUUUUUUCCUACUGUAGAAGGGAUGUUCAAUGCUAUAGUGACAAGGAACAAUUCUUCAGCCUUAGACAGCAGAAAGAAGAAACAUAAAGAGACUGUACAGUUCUUGGGACACCGAGACAACUAUCUACGUGCUUUGUGGAAGCAGAGACAAGUAUGAGAUUUGGCUUUCUGGGCUAUGAGGGCACACAGCUGGCUCACAUCCAGCUCCCAUCCACCAUUUAGAUAAGAUACUAUUGCUUUUAAUAAAGACAAGUCAAAGAUCUUCUCCUAAGUGCUCUUAAAGAACUCCAGCAUUGUGUCUACAAUAAUCCAUCCGCCUUAAAGGAUCCAGCAGUACAUCACCACCAGUGGAUAUAAGAAGUAAUUAGUCAUCAUUUAGGGAAGUAAGAUUUAACAGUUAUUUUGUUGGCAGAAGUGCCGUGAUAAAAAUGGUACUCUGAAAGUUAUUUGGUAUUUCUCAUUGUUGCCAGAGUUCUGAACAUUUUGAUAGGAUGAAAAUAGACUUCGGUAGGAAAGUUGUGGAUUUUUUCCCCUCCAUUUAGUAGAAAUAUAAAUGUUACAAAAUAAAUAAUGAUAGAAUAUAUGUGUAUAUAUUUUCAAUGCAUAUUUUAAAAUGCAUAUGAAAUGCAUUUUUUAAAAUAUUUUGUUCAAAUAUUUUUACUAAUGUUGUAUACCUUGCAUCUGUGAAGUGGGUUAUCCCUUAAACAUCCUUUCUUCAGACAGUACUGGGAUUCAUCCUCAGGCCCCGUUAUCUUGCUCUACGUUUCCUAGAGUCCAUCUAUAUAAUAAAUGAGAAUACUGCAUGGUUACACAUCGUAAUUAUUUUUUAAAAUUAUUUUUUAUUUUUUUGCUGAUUGGGGAAAUGGUGAAAACUGGUUUUUGCAUAUUUCAACAACGUUACUCAGCCAAGUAAAAGAACAAGGGAGCAGAAUGGAAGAGAAACGAAGAAAUGGAAGGAAGGAAGGAAG